AGUGAACGCUGGCGGUAGGCCUAACACAUGCAAGUCGAACGGCAGCACAGUAAGAGCUUGCUCUUACGGGUGGCGAGUGGCGGACGGGUGAGGAAUACAUCGGUAUCUACUUUUUCGUGGGGGAUAACGUAGGGAAACUUACGCUAAUACCGCAUACGACCUACGGGUGAAAGCAGGGGAUCUUCGGACCUUGCGCGAUUGAAUGAGCCGAUGUCGGAUUAGCUAGUUGGCGGGGUAAAGGCCCACCAAGGCGACGAUCCGUAGCUGGUCUGAGAGGAUGAUCAGCCACACUGGAACUGAGACACGGUCCAGACUCCUACGGGAGGCAGCAGUGGGGAAUAUUGGACAAUGGGCGCAAGCCUGAUCCAGCCAUACCGCGUGGGUGAAGAAGGCCUUCGGGUUGUAAAGCCCUUUUGUUGGGAAAGAAAAGCAGCAGGUUAAUACCCCGCUGUUUUGACGGUACCCAAAGAAUAAGCACCGGCUAACUUCGUG
rnacentral:rRNA from 1 species